rnacentral:pre_miRNA from 1 species
UCCUAUGGAUGAGCAAAGAGUAGUUUCUUGAGAUGGAAUCUACUCCUGGUGAGGAUGUUGUGAA